rnacentral:rRNA from 1 species
GACGAACGCUGGCGGCGUGCUUAACACAUGCAAGUCGAACGGAGUGGCGAACGGGUGAGUAACACGUGGGUGACCUGCCCUGCCCUUCGGGAUAAGCCUGGGAAACUGGGUCUAAUACCGGAUAGUGUGGGAUGGGCCCGCGGCCGAUCAGCUUGUUGGUGGGGUAAUGGCCUACCAAGGCGGCGACGGGUAGCCGGCCUGAGAGGGUGGACGGCAACAGUGGGAUUGAGCAACCGCCCAGACUGCGACGGGAGGCAGCAGUGGGGGAUAUUGCACCAUGGGCGGAAGCCUGAUGUAGCGACGCCGCGUGGGGGAUGUCGGCCUUCGGGUUGUAAACUCCUUUCACCAUCGACGCGGUAGAUGGAGAAGAAACACCGGCUAGCUACGUGCCAGCAGCCGCGGUAAUUC